rnacentral:rRNA from 1 species
GACGGAGGAUCCAAGCGUUAUCCGGAUUCAUUGGGUUUAAAGGGUGCGUAGGCGGAAUGAUAAGUCAGUGGUAAAAUCUCGGAGCUUAACUCCGAAACUGCCAUUGAUACUGUCAAUCUUGAGUACAUUUGAUGUGGGCGGAAUGUGUCAUGUAGCGGUGAAAUGCUUAGAUAUGACACAGAACACCGAUUGCGAAGGCAGCUCACAAAACUGUAACUGACGCUGAGGCACGAAAGCGUGGGUAGUCAAACAGGA